GAUCAACCAUGCAUCCAUAAUGCUUAACGUUGGGUUCUAUCUUGUGCUCCUGAAUCAUGGAACUAAAAUGUUGGCGCCCCUCAUCUACUAAACCCAUGUGUCUACAAGCUCCAAGAACUGCCAUAAAGGAUAUCUCAUUAGGCAGCACGCCACAUUCCUUCAUCUCUGAAAAUGCAUCGAGUGACUUGUCAACUGUACCAUUCAUUGCGAGACCAAGAAUGAGAGCAUUCCAAGUAGAAACCCCUUUUUCCUGCAUCCCAUGGAAAACUUCCAAAGCAUUUUCAACACACCCAAAUUUCAUGUACAUAUCUAUAAGGGUAGUACCCAGAAUGACAUUAAUCUUCAGGCCAUUCUUCCUUACAUAAGCAUGGAUCCAUUUUCCUUGGUCAAGUGCAGCCAAGUGGGUGCAAGCAGAUAUUACACUUACCAAAGUCGUCUCAUCAGGCUUAAUUCCAUCAAGCUGCAUUUCCUGAAACAACGCCAAAGUAUCAGCAAAUCUGUCAUGUUGAGCAUAACCUGAUAUCAUAGCACUCCAUGACACAAUAUCCUUCUCAGGCAUUGAAUCAAAUAAAGCCUUGGCCUUUUCGACCUCACUACAUUUCAAGUACCCAGAGAUCAUAGAAUUCCAAGAAACCAGGUCCAAGCAGCAACCCCCGUUAAACAACUUUUGGGCAGCCUCUACUUCCCCACAACUUGAAUACAUGUGAAUCAAAGCAUUAUGAAGGUUAACAUAAGAUUCAAUUCCAAUUUUGACAGCCAAACUGUGAAUCAAUUUCCCUGUCCUCACUACCAACAAGUGAGCACAUGCUGAAAGAACACUGAUUACCACAACCUCAUCCAACGUAAUUCCAUCAGCUUUCAUUUGCUGAAACAUAAUCAAAGCCUGCUCAUGCAUUUGAUUUUGCUCAUAGCAAGAAAUCAAAGCGCUCCACGAUACCAUAUCUUUUUUAUGCAUUUCACUGAAUAACCUAUACGCAUCAGCAACAUUACCUUUUUUACCAUACAACACAAUCAUCGAAUUUGAAGCAAUAAUGUUCCUUGCCGGCAUCCUAUCGUAUAUAUACUUAGCCUCCUCCACAUCCCAUAUCGAAACAUAACCAGCCAAGAUUGAAUUCCAAGAAACUAUGUCCACAACAGGACUUUGGUCAAACACUUUACGCGCGUCGCUCAAGUUCCCACAAACAGCAUACAUGUUUAUCAACGUGUUCUGUACAUAAACAUCUGAAUCAAAACCCAUUUUCAGAACAUGACAGUGAAUCAGUUUCCCUUCAAACUCCGCUAGUCUAAGAGAGCAAGACUGAACUAAAAUAGGGUAAGUGUAAUUAUCAGGUUCAACAGUCUCUUGCAACAUCAAUUUAUAUAUACCGAGAGAAUUAUGUGUAGCGUUUCUUUGAACAUAAGCUCUCAUCAUGGUGUUAUAAAUGAACCCAUUUGGAUUCUCAAUGCAAGUGAAGAUUUGAUGGGAGCGGUUGAUGUAAAUGAAGGGUGAAUCGGUGGAGAACUUGAGGAGUCUGCUUGCUGCAAACGUGUCUCGGAGGAACCCAGUGAGGAUCAUUUGAGAAAGGAUUUGACUGAAUUGCUUGAGGUUUCGGCAUCGGAGCAAACAAGUCUCCAAUAUUGGGAGAGUUAAGGUUAGAUUUAGGGUGGGUGUUAGACGUUUGGACAAAUUCAUAGACACAGCGGAAUCAAUACUUGAAAAAACCAGAGACUAAACCGCUUUUUGUUUCAAAUACAUCAAAAUCUUGCUAAUUUUUCUAAGAAAUAGGGAUUAAAACGAAUUUUUGUGGGAAAGGUUAAGGACUUUUUUGUAAUUACCCACCCCAUAUGAGUGGGCUCACUUUUCGCCAAUUGUCUGUCUUCCUUCACUCCGUUUCUCAGUCUCUGCAACUUCUCUCUCUCUACUCUCCCUCUUCCAUCCUUGUUAAAACCGGCUGCACAGAUUCCAUUUUUCUCUCAUAAACCCUAACACUAACAAUGGCCCCCAAAUCCAGCAACUCCAAAUGCAAAACCCCGCAAGACCUCCACUUCAAGCCUGGCUCCAUCGUCGAGAUCAGCUCCGACGACGAUGGAUUCCGUGGCUCCUGGUAUGUGGGCACCAUCAUCCGCCGUGCCUCCACUAAGAACCCUAAUAAAUACCUUGUCCAGUACGAGAAACUAUUCAAUGACAAAGCGGGCAAGAAACCUUUAAGGGAAAUUCUUGAUUUAGUGCAGUUGAGGCCUGUGGCGCCAAGGGAGAAACAAAGGAAGUUUAAGUUCGGCGAGAAAGUGGAUGCAUACCAUAAUGAUGGGUGGUGGGAAGGAUCCAUUACUGAAGAGUGUGAGGAUGGGAGGUUUGCUGUGUUUUUUAGGGGGACGAGAGAGCAGAUUGUGUUUGGAGAGGAGGAUUUGAGGUUGCAUAGGGAGUGGGAUAAUGGGGAAUGGCAACCGUCAUUGGAACGGGUCCAAGAAGAGAAACAGGAAGAGAAUGAGGAAGAGGACGAGGUAAAAGAGGAAAAAAAGAAAGACAAGUUGAAGGAAGAAGUGGAACCAAUGAUUACCAAAGAAGUGAAGCCUAUUGAAGCAAUGACAGAGGAGAAGGUUAGCAAGGGAAUGCUGGUUGAGGAAACACUGAUUUUAAAAGAAGUGAAGCCUAUCGAAGCAAUGUCAGACGAGAAGUUUAGCAAGGGAAUGCCAGUUGAGGUUAGUAGUGAUGAAGAAGGUUUUGAAGGUGCUUGGUUUGCUGCAACUAUUGUUGAAGUGGUCGGAAAGGAUAAGUACCUUAUCGAGUACCAGAGCUUGAGAACAGAAGAUGAUAGUGAUUUUCUAAGAGAGGAGGUUGACAUUCUGCACAUAAGGCCCCGUCCCCCAGAAACCAUAGUUGUUGAUCGUUUUAAAUUGCUGGAUGAAGUUGAUGCUUCAUACAAUGACGGUUGGUGGGUGGGUGUUAUUGCUAAGGUUCUUGCUGACUCAAAGUACAUAGUCUACUUUAGGGACAGCGAGGAGGAAAUGAUGUUUCGACACUCUGAAUUAAGGCUGCAUCAGGAUUGGAUCGGUGGUGAAUGGAUCUUGCCUUCAUUGGUAUGACAUGGAUAUUUUAACAAAUUUUGUUGUUGAUGACGAUUGUUUAGACUGGUGUUAGCAGAGAAUUUUUGGAACUUAAUAAUUUUAUAGAUAAUGACAAAUUCUAGGGCUCAGAUGAUUUUAUUAAACUUGUAGGUUUUGCCGCAAAUUGCAAUUCAGACUAGUUGAAAACUGGGGUAUAGUGCAAACAUAAGAAUUUAAAAUGAUGCAACAUAAGUGGUAACUAUUUGGAGUUCACUGAAAGCUAUCUUCUUCAGUUGGUUGCUGGUAGUGUUUCACAAGUAUUCAAAAAACCAUGCAUGUCUAUGGAGAUGAAAUUACUGCUGUUUGAUGCAUGGUAGAUACCAAACUGCAUACUUGGUUGACAGCCUUAAUCUAUGAGAAUAACUAGAUUAAUGUAUGCCUCAGUGAGUGUUUAGUGGGUUAGGUUAUUAACAUAAUGCUUCUUUGUUCUGUAGCCCUACCUAUGAUAAUAACUUUUGUUCAUACAUGUCUUAGUGAUUGGCAGGUUGGUGAUGUAAUUUCAUGAUGUAACUUAGUUUUAACACCACACCAUUCUUUCUGAAGUUUAGUUUUUAUUCUGGACACUAACAGUGAGUACAAACUUAUAGUUCUCUCUGAUUGUAAAUAUGUGCUUGUAAUGUGAAUUUGUCUCAGGCUGUGAAGCUGUGAUUUCUGGAGAAACUUCAAGGGAUUUGCUAUGAAAAUCUGCAGCAUGACUGUGCAGAUAUUAGCAUCCAAUUCCACAUUGCAUUCUUUGGUAGUUGUGGAUACCAAAUUUUCCCAGCUUUGUUGCCUGACAAUUUGCACAUCCUUGGCUGAUUGCCUGCUAAUCUAGUAUUAGACUUGUGUUGAUUCCUUUUAGACUCGGGGCCUUCUAGUGCAGCCUCAAACUGCUUCAUUGAAUCCAAAAACAAAAAAAAAAAUUGUUAGUCCAGUGCUUCUAGUUAAAUUGUAAAAUUGUCACCGGAAUGAAAUUUCAAGUUUCUUUGCUCAUGGAGGGGAAUUAUCUUUCACUUUGUUCUUAUUGUGUCGUUUUCGAAAUGUACUAGCUCCUUGAAAGUCUUAAGUGCAUGCCAUUGAUUAAUUAUGCAUCUUUAGCUGCAUCAAAUAUGUCUCCCUUGUUUUCUUAAAUACUUUUUGAAUGAUUUCUCAACCAAGG
rnacentral:misc_RNA from 1 species